CUUGCCAUCUCCCACUGAGCGUGCCAGACCAGAAACAACUCCGCUCCAGAGAGAGUAAAGACGCAAAGAUGAAGGUGUCGUGCGUGGCCGCUUUCCUCAUAGGGCUCCUCUCCCUGGCGAGCACCAGAGCAGCUCCAUUGGGCUCCGGAAGCAUAAAGACCCGCAAAGUGGACGAUGGCAGCUUUAACGACAACAGCGCUCCUGUGAGACUACCUAGAUUCUGGUUUGAGGCUGUUGAGGACACAGCCGAAAGCGCUUUUGAUGUUUCUGGGAGAGUAUCUGGAAGAGUCCCAGGG